AUUGAACGCUGGCGGCAUGCCUUACACAUGCAAGUCGAACGGCAGCACGGGAGCAAUCCUGGUGGCGAGUGGCGAACGGGUGAGUAAUGUAUCGGAACGUACCUUUCAGUGGGGGAUAACGUAGCGAAAGUUACGCUAAUACCGCAUAUUCUGUGAGCAGGAAAGCAGGGGAUCGCAAGACCUUGCGCUGAUUGAGCGGCCGAUAUCAGAUUAGCUAGUUGGUGAGGUAAAGGCUCACCAAGGCGACGAUCUGUAGCGGGUCUGAGAGGAUGAUCCGCCACACUGGAACUGAGACACGGUCCAGACUCCUACGGAGGCAGCAGUGGGGAAUUUUGGACAAUGGCGCAAGCCUGAUCCAGCCAUGCCGCGUGAGUGAAGAAGGCCUCGGUUGUAAGU
rnacentral:rRNA from 1 species